rnacentral:rRNA from 1 species
UACUCGAGUGGCGAACGGGUGAGUAACACGUGGGUGAUCUGCCCUGCACUUCGGGAUAAGCUUGGGAAACUGGGUCUAAUACCGGAUAGGAGCCAUCUUUAGUGUGGUGGUUGGAAAGUUUUUUCGGUGUAGGAUGAGCUCGCGGCCUAUCAGCUUGUUGGUGGGGUAAUGGCCUACCAAGGCGGCGACGGGUUGCCGGCCUGAGAGGGUGUACGGCCACAUUGGGACUGAGAUACGGCCCAG